GGUUAUAGCUCAAUUGGUAGAGGGAUUGCCUUGCAUGCACAAGGCCCUAGGUUCAGUCCCCAGCACCA
rnacentral:tRNA from 1 species